rnacentral:rRNA from 1 species
UACAGAGGGUGCAAGCGUUAAUCGGAAUUACUGGGCGUAAAGGGCUCGUAGGCGGCCAACUAAGUCAGACGUGAAAUCCCUCGGCUUAACCGGGGAACUGCGUCUGAUACUGGAUGGCUUGAGUUUGGGAGAGGGAUGCGGAAUUCCAGGUGUAGCGGUGAAAUGCGUAGAUAUCUGGAGGAACACCGGUGGCGAAGGCGGCAUCCUGGACCAACACUGACGCUGAGUGAGCGAAAGCCAGGGGAGCAAACGGG